rnacentral:rRNA from 1 species
CAGCCGCCGCGGUAACACGAAGGGGGCUAGCGUUGUUCGGAUUUACUGGGCGUAAAGCGCACGUAGGCGGAUCGAUCAGUCAGGGGUGAAAUCCCAGAGCUCAACUCUGGAACUGCCUCUGAUACUGUCGAUCUGGAGUAUGGAAGAGGUGAGUGGAAUUCCGAGUGUAGAGGUGAAAUUCGUAGAUAUUCGGAAGAACACCAGUGGCGAAGGCGACACACUGGCUCAUUACUGACGCUGAGGCUCGAAAGCGUGGGGAGCAAACAGGAUUAGAUACCCCGGUAGUCCCUGUCUCUUAUAC